rnacentral:lncRNA from 1 species
CUAACAGAAACCAUGUUACAGAGAAUGUCUGGCCACUGUCUGAGAAGAGAUGACUAACAUGGUGACUAGACCGGGCACGCGCAUGUUGAUUUUGUACAUCCACACAAGAUGCAAUAAGAACACGCAGGUUAAAAUAUCAAAACAAACUGAACCAACUAUAUUAAUUUGAGAACAGGUUGGUACACAUGAAGCACUCUUGUCCAUUUAGCAAGCUUGCAGUUGCUAGCUAGUUUGUCCUGGGAUAUAAACAUUGGGUUAUUAUUUUUAUCUGAAAUGCACGAGGUCCUUUACUGAGUCACAAAAUAGUGUGCUCUACAGCAUCUCAGUCCAAGAGGCAGCACUACAGUACGCUGUAUCACAUCCGGCAUACAAUUGGCCCAGCGUCGUCCAGGCCCCGGCAUUGUAAAUAAUAAUUUGUUCUUAUCCGACUUUCCUAGUUAAAUACAUAAACUAGUUCGUUUCUAGUGAUUUCUUCUGUGGACUUUAUAUGGCCGUCAGCAACCAACUUUAAGGUGCACUACCACCACCAACUGGACUGGAGUUUGGUCCUCAGUUCAUCUUUCAAAUCAGCCAAGUGGGUAUAUGCUCCUAAAACCCAGAGGAGAUGGGAGAGGAGGGACUUGCAGCGCAUUAAAUACAGGACCAAGUUCUAUUUUAGCACCUGGCUACACAGACACCUGUUGACACAUGCAAGAAGUUUGGAUGAAAUGAUUGAACAUGCAUAAGUACAUUCAUGCUGUCGACGCAAUGUGGACCUGACAGGAAUAUUUUCAAUGUUUUGGCAAUUGAACAUUCACCAUUGUUGGCUUUGAAAUUUCCUAUAUUGUUCAACUUUAAUUGUGAUGUCAUUAUUUCUAAAUGCAUUUAAUGUUCAAAGUUAGUUGCGCUAAAAUAAACUCACCUUUGCAAUGGAGAAUGUCAUCUUUACAAAACUGGUUGAACAGUUAUUUUAAUCCAUGUAGCCACCUGCAACUUUCCAUUAAUAUUUGAAUUCUGAACAAUUCAGUGUAGGACAUUUUUACCUUCAAUAGAAACACAUUUUUUUUUUUUUAAAUGGUCCUGUGCAGUUUGAACCCCCCCCAAAAAAAUACUAAUUACCACCAACAAGUUCUCCAUAGCAAAUUAUUUUUGAAUCAAUAGUGUAUCAUGCCAGUAUAUAUCUGCAGUAGUAGUUAGUUUAGUAGCUAGCUACACCAGUAGGUGUGUAGCGGAAAUAAAUCAAUGGAAGGCAGGCACAGGUUAAGUCGUGGUCACCUUGGGGUUCAUAAUUCCUCAUGAAACCCUGAUAAUCUCCACAUAAAAUAGCUUGUUAGCUAGGGGUGAGUCGAAUGACUGAACGUACCGGCAUUUGGGUGUAGCAACGUAAACUAAGCUUGGGUAGUAUAGCCAUCAAACGACGGGCAGAUUAGGCUGUAUUUGAAUGAUAGCUAGCUAACUGUGUAGUUAACUUCGUUAUCUCGCUGUUGCCGUGGCCAAGGUUAGCUAGCUAGCUCGCUGUUGCCGUGGCCAAGGUUAGCUAGCUAGCUCGCUGUUGCCGUGGCCAAGGUUAACUAGCUAGCUCGCUGUUGCCGUGGCCAAGGUUAGCUAGCUAGCUCGCUGUUGCCGUGGCCAAGGUUAGCUAGCUCGUUAAAAGGCAAUACCAUAGUAAUAACUACGACGUUACAAAACGGCUGAUUUAAGCAGUCUAGCUAACGUUAGCUAUUCACUCAAGUCACCACAACUGUUUGCUGAUGUACCAUUUCUUCACAGCUAUGGCUUUUCAGUUAUCGGUUUGAUUUUAGAUGUUAGCGGGCUAACAAGGUCGUAAAAUUACCACGUUUCAACAACGGAUACAGAAUCAGGCAAAACGUUCCUUUAGAUAAAAUGUAAAAAUAAAAAAAAACGAACCAAUGCAAUGUUCACAAUUCAAGAAAUUGACUACAAGUUAAACUACUAAAACGUAUUUAAUCAAUGUUACCUGUUCAAAUAAACUAUAUUCCUUACAGGUGUUCAACUUCAGAGCUUUUAGUCUUCAGUUCCGAUCAGCUUUCUCCUCGCCGGUAGCCGACUCACUGGAUCUAAUAGUAUUGAGAGCGAGUUCCUUUUUCUUCCCUCCAGAUUUUAUUACGUCAUCCAGACUGGCCAGUCACAUGCUUCUAGCGUCAUUAUGACGAACACGGCUGUUUUGCAUUCAAGCCCUAGAUGGAGUUGAGAACAUGAUGUAGGCCUACUACACAAAUGGAAAUAGCAUACUACACAACAUUUCAGUGGAAAUGCCGUUGUUUGUAUUCAC